AAUCCCGCAGUGCUAUAAUGCGUGAACAGCAACAAAAAUAUGCCUGAGCAAGGUUGUUGUUGUUAGGCAUCUUCACCAGGACGGGAGUUGGUUUUGUUAGUUUAUUUAUUUAUUUUGCAGCUCCUUAUUCGGUUCCCCCAGGGAAUGUAAGACCAUUGAGAUGGUGGUGGAGGUUUCUGUCUCUCCCUCGCUCCCCUAAAAGAAUUGUAGCAAUAGCCCUUCAUUACCCGUCAGCAUCGUUCCAGUUUCAGCAAUGUAAUACAAUUUACAUCUUUCUCACCUCUUCCCGCAAGCGAUAAAUCCUGAUUUGUAACAAGUUACAUUCCUGUUUGUAUUUAACCAGCAAGAUCCACCCCUCCCACAGUCCCUUGUCCAGAUGUAGACCCGGGAAAGAGAGGAUGCCGAGAUUUAUAAUCAGUCGAAAACUCACUUUGCAAUGAUUCCCCCUCACAACUAAGUUCCCGGUUUUCAUUCAGUUGCCACAGAAUGCUUAAGGAAGAGAAUCCUCGCCACCAACACAGGAGUGAAAAGUACACCCUCUACUGGCUGGUUCCAGAGUGCCAAAGCCCCAGCUGCAGUUUCGCCUCUGUCGGCGAAUCACAGAACCAAACAGCACUGAAGAUUAUCGUUCAACCCAUCCUUGAAAGAGCCAUCCAAUUAUUUCCAUUCCUCUUUCUCCACAGCAC